UACGAAGGGUGCAAACGUUGCUCGGAAUCAUUGGGCGUAAAGCGCACGUAGGCGGCUUGCCAAGUCGGACGUGAAAUCCCCAGGCUUAACCUGGGAACUGCAUCCGAUACUGGUUGGCUUGAAUCCGGGAGAGGGAUGCGGAAUUCCAGGUGUAGCGGUGAAAUGCGUAGAUAUCUGGAGGAACACCGGUGGCGAAGGCGGCAUCCUGGACCGGCAUUGACGCUGAGUGAGCGAAAGCCAGGGGAGCAAACGGG
rnacentral:rRNA from 1 species